rnacentral:tRNA from 2 species
GGCGGGGUAGCUCAGCUGGUUAGAGCGCACGACUCAUAAUCGUGAGGUCGGGAGAUCGAGCCUCCCUCCCGCUACCG